rnacentral:rRNA from 1 species
AAUGACGUCAAGCCAGCAUGCCCCUUACGCCUUGGGCUACACACGUACUACAAUGCUCCGGACAGAGGGCAGCAAGCAUGCGAGUGCAAGCAAAUCCCGUAAACCGGAGCUCAGUUCAGAUCGCAGGCUGCAACUCGCCUGCGUGAAGGAGGAAUCGCUAGUAAUUGCAGGUCAGCAUACUGCAGUGAAUUCGUUCCCGGGCCUUGUACACACCGCCCGUCACACCAUGGAAGCUGGUAGUGCCCGAAGUCAUUACUCCAACCUUUCGGGGAGGAGGAUGCCUAAGGCAGGACUGGUGACUGGGGUGAAGUCGUAACAAGGUAACC